AAUUUUGGCUUAGUGGCGAACGGGUGAGUAACGCGUGAGCGAACCUGCCUCGUUUUGAAGGGGGAUAACAACCGGAAACGGUUGCUAAUACCGCAUAAGACCACACUGUCGCAUGGCAGAGAGGUCAAAGGAGCAAUCCGCAGAGAGAGGGGCUCGCGUCCCAUUAGGUAGACGGCGGGGUAACGGCCCACCGUGCCGACGAUGGGUAGCCGAGCUGAGAGGCUGAUCGGCCACACUGGAACUGAGACACGGUCCAGACUCCGUACGGGAGGCAGCAGUGGGGGAAUAUUGGGCAAUGGGCGAAAGCCUGACCCAGCAACGCCGCGUGAGGGAAGAAGGUCUUCGGAUUGUAAACCUCUGUCCUUGGUGACGAAGGAAGUGACGGUAGCCAAGGAGGAAGCCCCGGCUAACUACGUGCCAGCAGCCGC
rnacentral:rRNA from 1 species